rnacentral:rRNA from 1 species
CUACGGGGGGCUCCAGUGGGGAAUAUUGCACAAUGGGCGCAAGCCUGAUGCAGCAACGCCGCGUGAACGAUGAAGGCCUUCGGGUUGUAAAGUUCUUUUCUUAGGGAAGAAUAAAUGACGGUACCUAAGGAAUCAGCCCCGGCUAACUAUGUGCCAGCAGCCGCGGUAAUACGUAGGGGGCAAGCGUUAUCCGGAAUCACUGGGCGUAAAGGGAGUGUAGGCGGUCAAGCAAGUCAGGGGUGAAAGGCAUCGGCUCAACCGAUGUAAGCCUUUGAAACUGUUUGACUUGAGUGCAGGAGAGGUAAGUGGAAUUCCUAGUGUAGCGGUGAAAUGCGUAGAUAUUAGGAGGAACACCAGUGGCGAAGGCGACUUACUGGACUGUAACUGACGCUGAGGCUCGAAAGCGUGGGGAGCGAACAGGAUUAGAUACCCUUGUAGUC